rnacentral:lncRNA from 1 species
UCCAGAUCAAUACCGUCGGCGAUGCGGGUGGCACUUUCAAGGAAGGUUUCCAUGAAGUCUUCAAAUCGAAGUUUCUGCGUGUUGGCGACCUUCAACGUCUUCAGUUUCUCCUCGCGCACCUCCUUGCAAUGGACUCGGACCAGGGACAGAGCAACAUCUGCACCACAAUGAGCUGCAGAUUUCUUCCACGACUGCACUCGGUUCGGAAUCUCCUCCAGUCGGGUCAUCAGGUUCUCCAUCUCCUGCCGCGACUCAUUUUCUGGCCAAAGCUCCUUGUCGAUUCGGCCGACGACUUCUCUCAGUCGACCGAUGAAAGGACCAACUUUGCCCACGCGGAUGUGUGCACGGAGCAGAUCCCGAU